AUUGAACGCUGGCGGCAGGCCUAACACAUGCAAGUCGAGCGAGUGGCGGACGGGUGAGUAAUGCUUGGGAAUCUAGCUUAUGGAGGGGGAUAACUACGGGAAACUGUAGCUAAUACCGCGUACCAUAGGAUGAGCCCAAGUGGGAUUAGGUAGUUGGUGAGGUAAAGGCUCAACAAGCCGACGAUCUCUAGCUGGUCUGAGAGGAUGACCAGCCACACGGGGACUGAGACACGGCCCAGACUCCUACGAGAGGCAGCAGUGGGUAAUAUUGCGCAAUGGGGGCAACCUGACGAAGACAUGCCGCGUGAAUGAAGAAGGCCUUCGGGUUGUAAAGUUCUUUCGGUAGCGAGGCGUUAACUACAGAAGAAGCACCGGCUAACUCCGUGCCAGCCGCCGCGGUAAUUC
rnacentral:rRNA from 1 species